rnacentral:rRNA from 1 species
AGUAACACGUGGAUAACCUACCUAUAGGACUGGGAUAACUUCGGGAAACCGGAGCUAAUACCGGAUGAUAUUUUGAACCGCAUGGUUCAAAAGUGAAAGACGGCCUUGCUGUCACUUAUAGAUGGAUCCGCGCUGCAUUAGCUAGUUGGUAAGGUAACGGCUUACCAAGGCAACGAUGCAUAGCCGACCUGAGAGGGUGAUCGGCCACACUGGAACUGAGGCACGGUCCAG